UACGUAGGUGGCAAGCGUUGUCCGGAAUUAUUGGGCGUAAAGCGCGCGCAGGCGGUCCUUUAAGUCUGAUGUGAAAUCACGUGGCUCAACCACGUGCGGUCAUUGGAAACUGGAGGACUUGAGUGCAGAAGAGGAAAGUGGAAUUCCAAGUGUAGCGGUGAAAUGCGUAGAGAUUUGGAGGAACACCAGUGGCGAAGGCGACUUUCUGGUCUGUAACUGACGCUGAGGCGCGAAAGCGUGGGGAGCAAACAGGAUUAGAUA
rnacentral:rRNA from 1 species